AUUGAACGCUGGCGGCAGGCAUACCACAUGCAAGUCGAACGAGUGGCGGACGGGUGCGUCAUGUCUGGGAAACUGCCCGAUGGGGGGGGAUAACUACUGGAAACGGUAGCUAAUACCGCAUACCAACGGCUGUGCCCAGAUGGGAUUAGCUAGUAGGUGGGGUAACGGCGCACCUAGGCGACGAUCCCUAGCUGGUCUGAGAGGAUGACCAGCCACACUGGAACUGAGACACGGUCCAGACUCCUACGGGAGGCAGCAUUGGGGAAUAUUGCACAAUGGGCGAAAGCCUGAUGCAGCCAUGCCGCGUGGAUGAAGAAGGCCUUCGGGUUGUAAAGUACUUUCAGCGAGGAGGCGUUACUCGCAGAAGAAGAACCGGCUAACUCCGUGCCAGCCGCCGCGGUAAUUC
rnacentral:rRNA from 1 species